ACGUAGGGUGCGAGCGUUAAUCGGAAUUACUGGGCGUAAAGCGUGCGCAGGCGGUUGGGUAAGACAGAUGUGAAAUCCCCGGGCUUAACCUGGGAACUGCAUUUGUGACUGUCCGACUGGAGUAUGUCAGAGGGGGGUGGAAUUCCAAGUGUAGCAGUGAAAUGCGUAGAUAUUUGGAAGAACACCGAUGGCGAAGGCAGCCCCCUGGGGCAAAACUGACGCUCAUGCACGAAAGCGUGGGGAGCAAACAG
rnacentral:rRNA from 1 species